rnacentral:tRNA from 1 species
GCAUUAAUGGGGUAGUGGUAACCUGGGUCGUUGCCAUUCGACGUUGUGUCGACCCGCCGGGGGUUCGAUUCCCCCUUAAUGCA